rnacentral:rRNA from 1 species
UAAGUAGGGCGUGAAAGCGUGUGGCUCAACCAUAUACACAUGUCCUAAACUGCUAAGCUAGAAUAUAGAAGAGGUCGCUGGAAUUCCUUGUGUAGGAGUGAAAUCCGUAGAUAUAAGGAGGAACACCGAUGGCGUAGGCAGGCGACUGGUCGAUUAUUGACACUAAGGCACGAAAGCGUGGGUAGCAAACGGGAUUAGAUACCCCGGUAGUCCACGCCGUAAACUAUGGAUGCUA